GCACGCUUAUAUAAAUACCCACUCUAGCUUCUUAUUCUAACUCAGAGAAGAACAUUACAAAGAGUCAGAGAGUAAUCCAUACAUAUACAUAUAGAUCUCUCCAGUAACUCAAAACAAAACAAAAAUCAUCAGUCUAUCGAUCGAUGGACAUGGAGACGAAGAAACCUUACAUGUGGUGACUAUGAUACAAAUCAUAUAUGCAAUCAUGGUUUUGAUCUCUAAAGCUGUCUUCAAUGGUGGAAUGAACACUUUCGUCUUCGUUUUCUAUCGUCAAGCGUUCGCUACCAUCUUCUUGGCUCCUCUCGCUUUCUUCUUCGAAUGGAAAAGUGCUCCACCUCUUUCAUUUGUUACCUUCAUCAAAAUCUUCAUGCUCUCCUUAUUUGGUGUGACAUUGAGCUUGGACUUAAACGGAAUCGCAUUAUCAUACACUUCGGCAACUUUGGCCGCUUCCACAUUCUUCUUGGCUCUGUUUCUUGGAAUGGAGACGCUUAAGAUUAAGACCAUACAAGGAACAGCGAAGCUUGUGGGGUAUUAUGGGAUCAUUAUCUAGUUAUUAAUACUUAGGAUAAUGACGUUAUUGAUAAGUCCACAUAUGUUAUUGAUAAGGACAAAUAGUUUGUUGAGGUUUAGUUAAACCGUCAUACACGUUGUAUAAGUAUCGAUGUUCACAAGUUUAAUAAGACAAGUCAGUUCGAUACAUUAUUUUACAUGGUAUCAGAGCUAAAGAUCUCUUUAAACACAUAAAUUUUUCUUUCUUAUUCAAUAGUUCAUAGUCUUGAACUGAUUAAUCGUCUGUGACGAUGGGUGACAAAGACUCUCAAAGUUUGGGAGUUAUAGGAUCGGUUGUGAAACCUGGUGAUUCACCCUAUACCCUUUAUAGUUCAGAUAAUCCUGGUGCAAAGAUAACACAGGUUAUGCUGAAUGGUGACAACUAUAAUCUAUGGGCAAACGAGAUGGUGAAUGCUUUGCAAGCCAAGAGGAAGAUUGGUUUCAUUAAUGGAACCGUGGAGAAGCCGUCCAGUGAUGGACCUGAUUAUGAGAGUUGGGUGGCAGUCAACUCAAUGGUGAUAGGGUGGAUAAGGUCUUCGAUUGAUCCCAAGGUGAAAUCCUCUGUAACUUUUGUAUCAGAGGCGAGCCAGUUGUGGUCUAGCUUGAAGCAGCGAUUCUCAGUUGGGAAUAAAAUCCGUAUUCAUGAGUUAAAAGCACAACAAGCUCAGUGUAGACAAGAUGGGCAACCUGUCAUUGAGUAUUAUGGACGUUUGUGUGCUUUAUGGGAGGAGUUUGCUGUAUACAGACCACUUCCAAAGUGUACGUGUGAUGCUUCUGACGAGAUAAGGAAGGAGCGAGAUGAUGAUCAAGUUCAUCAGUUCAUCAUGGGUUUAGAUGAUUCGAGAUUUGGUGCCUUGUGUACUAGUCUUAUUGGUAUGGAUCCAUUGCCGUCGAUUGGUGAAGUGUACUCUAAAGUUAUUAGAGAAGAGCAGAGGUUGAAUGCUUCUCGAACAAGGGAACAACAACAAGAUGCGGUCGGUUUCGUUACAAGGCAAACGGAGUUGGUGUCUCUUGACAACAGUAUUGUUAAGAAUGACUCUUCCAUUCUCAGGAACCGUAAUGCUGUCUGUUCUCAUUGUGGACGGAAUGGUCAUGAAAAGAAAGAUUGUUGGCAACUGGUGGGCUUUCCGGAGUGGUGGACUGAACGGUCUGAGCGAAAUAAAGGUGGUGGUGGUUCUGGAAGAGGAAGAGGAUGUAGUGCUCAAGGUCGUGGUCGAGGCUUCACUGCUGCAGCACAUGCUACGAGUUCAAACUCUUCAUUCUUUCCAGAGUUUACACAAGACCAGUGGAAGUCUCUUGCUCAGAUGAUCAAUGAAAAGUCAGGCUCAGACAAGCUUUCUGGUAAGACAAAAUUUAGUGAUGUAAUCUUAGACACCGGAGCCUCUCACCACAUGAUAGGACAGUUGUCUCUGUUAACAAACGUUGUGUCUAUCUCACCGUGUUCUAUUGGCUUUGCGGAUGGUAGUAAGACAUUUGCUUUGAGCAUGGGAUCGUUUCCUCUCUCAAGCAAGAUUUCAUUGACCAAUGUGCUAUAUGUUCCGGCAUUGAAAUGCACCUUGAUAUCAGUCUCGAAAAUUUUAAAGCAAACUGGUUGUCUUGCUACUUUUACUGAUACUGUUUGUGUUUUACAGGACCGUUUCUCGAGGACUCUGAUUGGAACCGGUGAAGAGCGUGAUGGGGUUUACUUCUUGACGGAUGUGGCUACAGCAAAGAUCCACUUGGCCGGUGCAGUAUGUGAUCAGACCUUGUGGCAUCAGCGUUUAAGACAUCCGAGUUUUUCUGUUUUGUCUUCAUUACCAUUGUUUUCCUCUACGUCUGUUGUCUCUCGUCCGUGUGAUGUGUGUUUUCGAGCUAAACAGACUAGAGAAGUGUUUCCAGACAGUUUUAAUAAAGCAAAUGAUUGUUUUUCAUUGAUUCAUGUUGACGUAUGGGGUCCUUAUCGUGUGCCCUCUUCUUGUGGGGCGGUUUAUUUUUUGACAAUCGUUGAUGACUUCUCGCUUGAUGUGUGGACGUUUCUCAUGCUAGCAAAGUCGGAAGUUCGUACUAUUCUUAUCAACUUCAUUACAUACGUCAGUAAGCAGUUUGACAAGUCUGUCAAAAUUGUUCGAAGUGACAACGGAACUGAGUUUACAUGUCUCGCAUCAAAGUUCUGAGAACAAGGUAUUGUUCAUCAGACUUCCUGUGUGGGAACACCCCAGCAGAAUGGACGAGUAGAACGUAAGCAUCAUCAUAUACUCAAUAUUGCACGCGCUCUGUUGUUUCAAGCUAAGGUACCUAUCAAGUUUUGGGGUGAAGCUGUCCUUACUGCUGCUUAUCUAAUUAAUCGGACUCCAACAACCUUGCAUAAAGGACGUUCACCCUAUGAAGUUAUCCAUGGAAGAAAGCCGGACUAUAAUUUGCUUCGUGUGUUCGGCUCCGCGUGUUAUGUGCAUCGAGCUGCGAGGGAUAAAGACAAGUUUGGGGAGCGCAGUCGCUUGUGUGCGUUUCUCGGAUAUCCAUUUGGCAAGAAGGGAUAUAGAGUGUUUGAUAUGGAGCGUGAGGAGAUUAUGGUUUCUCGUGACGUUAUUUUUAGAGAAUACGUGUUCCCGUUUGAAACUCACGCUUCUCAGCCUCGGUCAUCAGUAGAAGGAGGAGACACUGAUUGGUGUUUCGAUGAGUCGAUUCUUGUAGACAGGGGGAGUGUUUCUCCUACGUUAAUUGAGGUCACGCCAGCUGAAGCCUCUACGUCACAUGGUCUGACACUGGAUUCUGCUAAUACUACUGCAGCAACAGAGACCACUGAAUUAGGUACAACAGAGUGGGUACCGCCUGCGGUAGAUAUCGCUGAACCUGUGGCAACAGAGGAUACUGAAGUAGCUAAUGAUGUUCUUCUUAACAAUGAAAACAAUGGUAAUACGGCUCAACAAAGUGAGGAAGCUUCUGGUCGUGGUCAUAGACAGCGUGUUCCGUCUGUAAGACUUCAGGACUACGUUACAUACAAUGCAGUUGUUUCUGAUACCCCUCACGCUCUCCCGCUCUCCACAUCAUCGUCCUCCAGUAUGGUCCAAGGUAACUCACUAUACCCUCUCACAAAUUACAUCAGUGAUGCUAACUUUACUCCGUAGCAUCGUGCGUUUCUCACCUCGGUCACGGCUCAUAAAGAGCCGAAGCACUUCAAGGAAGCUGUCGGUAUUAAGGUUUGGGAUGAUUCUAUGACUGUUGAAAUUGUGGCACUUGAAGCGCAGCAUACAUGGGAUAUCGUUGAUCUCCCACCAGGAAAAGUUGCCAUUGGCAGUCAGUGGGUUUAUAAAAUUAAGUUUAACGCCGACAGCACGAUUCGAAGAUAUAAGUCUCGGCUUGUGGGAUGUGGUAAUAAGCAAGUUGCAGGAGUUGAUUAUCAUGAGACCUUUGCUCCUGUGGUUAAGAUGAAAACGGUGCGAACGCUUCUCCGUCUAGCUGCUGCUCAGAAAUGGGAAGUGUAUCAAAUGGAUGUGAACAAUGCCUUUCUUCAUGGAGAUCUCCAAGAAGAAGUGUAUAUGAAGUUACCACCUGGUUUUCGCCACACUCAUCCUAAUAAGGUGUGCAAACUUCGAAAGUCUAUUUACGGACUUAGACAGGCUCCACGUUGCUGGUUUAAGAAGCUAUCAGAUGCACUUCUCAAGUUUGGUUUUGUACAGUCAUAUGAUGAUUACUCGCUGUUCUCGUAUACUCGCAAGGGAAUGCGGUUGCAUGUUCUUAUAUAUGUUGAUGAUCUGCUCAUAUGCGGUAACAAUGGCUAUAUGGUCGAGAAGUUUAAAGAGUAUCUUGGUAAAUGUUUUUCGAUGAAGGACUUGGGCAAGCUUAAGUACUUUCUUGGCAUAGAAGUUAGUAGAGGCCCGGAAGGUAUCUUCUUGUCUCAACGAAAAUAUGCACUAGACAUUGUCACUGACACAGGUAAUCUCGGGUGUAAACCUGCUGCGACACCUUUGGAGCAAAAACAUAAUCUUGCCAAGAGUAAAAGUCUGAUCUUGGCCGAUCCAACAAAGUACAGACGUCUCAUGGGUCGCUUGAUCUACCUGUCUCACACUCGACCUGAACUCAGUUACUCAAUUCAUACACUCUCUCAGUUCAUGAAGACGCCUCGUGAGGAUCAUUGGAAAGCUGCCAUUCGGCUGGUUCAGUUCCUAAAAGGAACGUUGGGACAAGGUAUUUUUCUUAGUUCCUCGCCGGAUAUGACUCUCUCCAUCUAUUGUGACUCCGACUGGUCCUCUUGUCCUCUCACAAGGCGCUCUCUCUCUGCCUUUGUUGUCAUGCUUGGUGACUCUCCUGUUUCAUGGAAGACGAAAAAGAAGGAUACAGUCUCCCACUCGUCGGCCGAAGCUGAGUAUCGUGCAAUGUCUUAUGCACUCAAGGAGGUAAAGUGGUUCCGCAAACUGUUUAAAGGAAUAGGUAUCGAACAACAGUCCACACGUUUCUUCUGUGACAGCAAGGCCGUUAUUCACAUUGCAACCAAUCCAGUCUUUCACGAGCGAACCAAGCAUAUUGAAAACGACUGUCACGCAGUGCGUGAUGCAGUUACAGCUGGCCUUAUUACUCUUCAUCACAUUCGGACUCACGACCAAGUUGCGGACAUCCUUACUAAAGCAUUGGGGCGUGAUCAGUUUCAUCUGUUAUUGUCCAAGUUGGGCGUUCACAAUCUUCAUGCACCAACGUGAGGGAAAAUAUUAUGGGAUCAUUAUCUAGUUAUUAAUACUUAGGAUAAUGACGUUAUUGAUAAGUCCACAUAUGUUAUUGAUAAGGACAAAUAGUUUGUUGAGGUUUAGUUAAACCGUCAUACACGUUGUAUAAGUAUCGAUGUUCACAAGUUUAAUAAGACAAGUCAGUUCGAUACAUUAUUCUACAGGGGAUAACUGUGUGCAAGGGGAUAACUGUGUGCAUGGGAGGGGUAAUUUACCUUAGCCCUUUACAAAGGUCCAGUAUUGAAAUUACCGAUAUGCCCUCACCUGUAUCAUCAGCGGAAUAUUCCCGGCCAUGUCUCCGGUGGUUCCACCUCUUGGCUCAAAGGAUGUGUUCUCAUGAUCACCUCCAACAUUUUAUGGGGUCUUUGGCUCGUUUUGCAGGGUCGUGUGUUAAAAAGUUUACCAUUCGAAGCUAUACUUCACGACUUUUCAUUGUCUAUUGAGUUCCAUCCAAUCUUUCGUCAUCGCUAUUGCAUUCGAGAGAGAUAUCUCAGCAUGGAAGCUUGGUUGGAACCUACGACUCGUUGCAGUCAUCUACUGUGGAUUCAUUGUAACAGGCGUAGCAUAUUAUUUGCAAUCAUGGGUUAUAGAGAAGAGGGGACCUGUUUUCUUAUCAAUGUUCACUCCUUUGUCUUUACUCUUCACUCUACUCUCAUCAGGGAUUCUACUUUGCGAGAUCAUCAGGCUUGGAAGUAUUCUAGGUGGAUUAUUACUGAUUAUAGGACUCUACUGUGUGCUGUGGGGGAAAAGUCGAGAGCUGAAGAACAUUGGUGAUCAGAAGACUGAUCCACAUAAAGAAAACAGUGAUGUUUGCAAUGAAGUGAAGGUUGUCAUUAGCUGAAUGAAUGUCUUAGUUUGUAUUAUACAUUAUGCUUAUUAUAUAUAUGUGCUAAUCAUCAUUCAUAUAAUAGAGUCCAGAUAAGUUUGCUUUAA